rnacentral:misc_RNA from 1 species
GCGAAUUUCACGAGAAUUUAACUCCCGUAUUUGAAGAUGAUGUAGCAUGCUGGCAUUGUCAUUGGUCUGACUGAUAGCUGCCUAAGUAUUGUAUGCUUUGUGUGUAAGCAAGCAUGGGUUCCGCUUGCUGUGUUGCUGCCAGAGAUAGAGCUGUUCUAGAUGGAUCAAGCUGUGAAAAUUUUCAGAGAAAUGUCCGCCAGUCUCCUACAUGGAGCUUUCG